GGGGCAGUGGCAGCAGUGUGCCGAGAUCACACGGGAGCUUAUUUGGGUUCAUCAGCGGUUGUUUAUCGCGAAAUUACUGACCCCACAAUCUUGGAAACAUUCGCGUGCAGGGAAGCUCUAGCUCUUGCAGAGGAUCUUCAGUCGACAAGAAUGAUGAUUGCUUCAGAUUGCAAAGGAGUGAUUCAAGAUAUAAACGAAGGAACAAAUGGUCCACAUGCGGCUAUAGUACAUGAAAUAACACUUCGGAGAGGCUUUUUCAAUUCGGUUGCUUUUGUGUUUCAGCGUAGAAAUCAUAAUUUCGAAGCUCAUAGUCUCGCCAAGUUCGCUUGUAAUUUAGGAGUAGAUCGGCAUGUUUGGUUGGGAGUUCCCCAUGACCAAAGUCGUGUACCUAUGAACAUUGCUAUCAUUUAA
rnacentral:rRNA from 1 species